UUUACGUCCCUGCCCUUUGUACACACCGCCGGUCGCUACUACGGAUUGAAUGGCUCAGUGAGGCCUUGGGAUUGGCUUAGGAGGGUUGGCAACGACCCCCCAGAGCCGAAAACUUGGUCAAACUCGGUCAUUUAGAGGAAGUAAAAGUCGUAACAAGGUUUCCGUAGGUGAACCUGCGGAAGGAUCAUUACCGAGUGAGGGCCCUCUGGGUCCAACCUCCCACCCGUGUUUAUUUUACCUUGUUGCUUCGGCGGGCCCGCCUUAACUGGCCGCCGGGGGGCUUACGCCCCCGGGCCCGCGCCCGCCGAAGACACCCUCGAACUCUGUCUGAAGAUUGUAGUCUGAGUGAAAAUAUAAAUUAUUUAAAACUUUCAACAACGGAUCUCUUGGUUCCGGCAUCGAUGAAGAACGCAGCGAAAUGCGAUACGUAAUGUGAAUUGCAAAUUCAGUGAAUCAUCGAGUCUUUGAACGCACAUUGCGCCCCCUGGUAUUCCGGGGGGCAUGCCUGUCCGAGCGUCAUUGCUGCCCUCAAGCACGGCUUGUGUGUUGGGCCCCGUCCUCCGAUCCCGGGGGACGGGCCCGAAAGGCAGCGGCGGCACCGCGUCCGGUCCUCGAGCGUAUGGGGCUUUGUCACCCGCUCUGUAGGCCCGGCCGGCGCUUGCCGAUCAACCCAAAUUUUUAUCCAGGUUGACCUCGGAUCAGGUA
rnacentral:rRNA from 1 species